rnacentral:rRNA from 1 species
AUUGAACGCUGGCGGCAGGCUUAACACAUGCAAGUCGAGCGGGGGAAGGUAGCUUGCUACCGGACCUAGCGGCGGACGGGUGAGUAAUGCUUAGGAAUCUGCCUAUUAGUGGGGGACAACAUCUCGAAGGGGAUGCUAAUACCGCAUACGUCCUACGGGAGAAAGCAGGGGAUCUUCGGACCUUGCGCUAAUAGAUGAGCCUAAGUCGGAUUAGCUAGUUGGUGGGGUAAAGGCCUACCAAGGCGACGAUCUGUAGCGGGUCUGAGAGGAUGAGCCGCCACACUGGGACUGAGACACGGCCCAGACUCCUACGGGAGGCAGCAGUGGGGAAUAUUGGACAAUGGGGGGAACCCUGAUCCAGCCAUGCCGCGUGUGUGAAGAAGGCCUUAUGGUUGUAAAGCACUUUAAGCGAGGAGGAGGCUACUUUAGUUAAUACCUAGAGAUAGUGGACGUUACUCGCAGAAUAAGCACCGGCUAACUCUGUGCCAGCCGCCGCAGUAA